CGGGACCGGAGCGGGAGCAGCGCGUCCGGGGAGCGCGGGGGACCGGACCCGACCGGACCGGCCGAGCCCGAGCCUCCCCGCCCGUCCCGUCGCCGGACCCGCAGCCCAGCCCGACCGGACCGGACCCGAGCCCGGCCCAGCCCGCCAGCCUGACCGGGGGGCGCUUUAACCAAGCCAACGACGUCGAAGGUAGCCUACUUUAAGAGAAAAUAUGCAGAAGAAGAUUUGCACCAAGAUUACCACAGGUGUUUUCCAAAACACCUGAUGUUGCCGGAGGACCGGACCUGUAUUCUCCGACUGUCCCUGGAGAAGCUGCGGUUCCUGGAGGACCCGGAAGGCUACCUAUGCCGGUCGGUGCUGAUCAAUAACCUCCUGCGGAGGAUCCAUCGGGAAAGCGAGGAAGAGAGCUAUGAGAGCUGCCAAGACUCCUGCUGCGCCUACUGCAGGACCGCCUACGCCGACGCGAGAAAACGGCUGAAGUUGAUGGUCCAGGACAGCUGCACCCAACCGCUCUGCUUCGGAGAGCUGCGCCCGUGCCAUGUCGUGCCUUGCUCCUCGGAGAGUGCCACGUGCGGGCUGGGUCUCGCCCGUGGGCCCCUGGGGCACGGUUCCCAGCUGCUGCUUUACAAAAUGAACUGAAGCGCCCGUGAGGUCGUGGAGCCAUGGCGGGCCCGAGCUGUCUGUAAAGGACAUGGCCGCGGGAGGUGCCGUCGGCCAGCGCCCCCGGGAUCGAAGAUGGGGCCUGCAGGACUAGCUGGGGGCGCCUCGAUCCACCUCGAGCAGCCGCUGUUGCCGUCCGCCCGGAUUCACCGUGAGGCCCCUCUGUAUAAAGCCGGCGGGUAGACGGAAUGCUCCGGGAGGCAGAGAACGGGACUCGUGGUCCCGUGACCCUCUGGGAUCCGUGCAAGAGAUGGGAGUAUUGGUGUAAAGGAGAGGCGGGUCAGGUGUUUAUUUUCCCGCAUGCACAACGAGCUUGCGUCGAGGUGGUUCUAAGUCAUUCGUAUUGGUGUCGCCGUGGUGAACCGUAUCCUCAGUAAUCUGUCACAAACCGGGGCCGCUAGGACAAAGCGCGAUGUCACGGUCGUGAACCGCAUCCUCACUCUUCUGCCGCAAAGAGGGUCGUCGCUCCUCUGGAAACGCACGGAUGUCGAGCCGCCGGCGCUCUGCUCCGGCCGUGAGGGAACUCACGUCGGCAGAGAGGCGGAGACGGGAUUUUUCGUAUUCUAUGCUACCUGGGCCAGAGGGGUUUUAGUAGACUGUUUUAUAAGAUGAGAGGGAGAAAAAGGUUCAUGUAUUUUAAACAUUUCGACAUUGGUUCAAUAAAACUUUAUUUCUGGUGA